rnacentral:misc_RNA from 1 species
UACGGAGGGUGCGAGCGUUAAUCGGAAUUACUGGGCGUAAAGGGUGCGUAGGUUGUUGAUUAAGUUAUAUGUGAAAUUCCUGGGCUUAACUUAGGGUUGACGUAUGAUACUGAUUGACUUGAGUAUGGGAGAGGGUAGUGGAAUUUCCGGUGUAGCGGUGAAAUGCGUAGAUAUCGGAAGGAACACUGGUGGCGAAGGCGUCUACCUGGCCUAAUACUGACACUGAGGCACGAAAGCGUGGGUAGCGAACAGG